ACUGAGUGUUCCCUGGACUAUAUUCAUCUACCGAUGGAGGAGGCGAUGGCGGAGUUGGGUCUCUGUAACCCGUCCAGUCAGGCUGUUCAGGAAUGUAAUCUAUGUUCUCGUUUAAAUCAACACUGACACGAGGGGCGACCCGAUCACGAUGUCUUAGACGAGCCGUGCGAACACCCCUCCCAGUCGCUCUAUCAGCAGCCCAUAACUCCACCAUCAAAUCAUAAUUUUUUAUGGAUGUCACUCUCCAC
rnacentral:lncRNA from 1 species